AGCGGUGUGGUGUACCGGGAACACGCCAGGCUCAUAAUCUGGAGAUACGUAGUUCGACUCUACGCGCCGCAA
rnacentral:tRNA from 1 species